rnacentral:pre_miRNA from 1 species
UUUCUACUCCCUGCGUCCGAAAAUACUUGUCAUCAAAAUGAAUAAAAGGGGAUGUAUCUAGAUGUAUUUUAGUUCUAGAUACAUCUCUUUUUGUUCAUUUUUAUGACAAGUAUUUUCGGACGGAGGGAGUAUUUC